UUAAAUCCCUUAUCGAGGAUCCAUUGGAGGGCAAGUCUGGUGCCAGCAGCCGCGGUAAUUCCAGCUCCAAUAGCGUAUAUUAAAGUUGUUSCAGUUAAAACGCUCGUMGUCGGAUUUCGAAGCACGCUCACGGGDDCGGUUUUUDCUGUUUCUGUGAGGGUGUCUUCUUUUUCUGGGACGCGUUGUGCGGGACUUGAUUGUCUCUGCACAUCUGCGGGCCGGACGUUUACUGUGAARAAAUUAGGGUGUUCAAAGCAGGCGUUUGCUAUGAAUACGUGAGCAUGGAAUAAUAGAAUAGGACUUGACCUCUAUUUKGUUGGUUUCCGGAGAACAAGUAAUGAUUAAUAGGGACAGUUGGGGGCAUUCGUAUUUCAUUGUCAGAGGUGAAAUUCUUGGAUUGAUGGAAGACGAACAACUGCGAAAGCAUCUGCCAAGGAUGUUUUCAUUGAUCAAGAACGAAAGUUAGGGGAUCGAAGACGAUCAGA
rnacentral:rRNA from 1 species